CAUCAUAUCUGCAUUCCGGCCUCUGCGUUUGGGUCCACUCCUGCUUCCCCGAGUCUGACAUAUGGCUUACUAUCAUCAUCAUCUUUAGCAUGAGAUGUCAGCAAUAAGGCCACAGAGAGUGAAGAUUAAACCUAAAGAAGAGGCAGCAUAUUUUUCAUCCUUGGGCAAGGACAAGGAUGGAUUCAAUAUAAAAUAUAUUAAUUCAUUUAAAGGUCGAGGAGUGUUCAGUUGCCGCCACUUUCAGAAGGGAGACUUUCUUAUUGAAUAUUGAUUGGAAAUCAAACAGGAACAUGAAAACAGGCUAAGACUGUACCACGAUGCCCUGAAGGUUUUCAUGUUUGAAUUUCUCUACAAUGGGAAAAAACUAUGUAUUGAUGCAGCCAGAGAGGAUGACUCCCUAGGGAGACUCGUCAACGAUGAUCAUGUAAGCCCAAACUGCAGAACGAGGAUCAUCACUGUGGAUAGAAAGCCUCAUCUCUGUUUAUUUGCAAUCAAGGACAUCAGGCCAGGGGAAGAGAUAACCUACAACUAUGGAGAUUCGGACUGGCCAUGGAGAUUAAAGGUUUCAACUGAAGCACAUCCUCACCAUGCAGCCUGGGCAUCUGACUGCACCAAAGAUGUUGAACAGGUGGCUUCAUUUAUAUUGAAUGUUGAUGUUAGAUUUCUUUCAUUAGCACAACAGUUUUGACUGGAAGUUGAAAGGAGGGUAUAGAUACACAGUCCUCAGUGUGUCUACAAUGGUCAGGUAUAGACACUCUGAGGACCGUGUAUUUGGACACUGUCAGUGACAUUAUUGAGAAAUGUGUUUUAAGAGCUAAGUGUUACAGAUACAUAGUCCUCAGUGUGUAUGUUCUGUUCAGGUAUAGACACUCUGAGGUCUCUAUAUGUGCACU